CCUUUCCUAGGGGCCAGCACAAGACUUUGAUGUAUCUGCUUGGAGGAUGUGACCCUAGAGAUAAGCUGAUAUCUGCUGCUCAGGCAUUCAGGACCAGGUGAUACUACAGUCAUUUCCAAUCUCAUUCUGAAGCUGUCAUCAUGGAUAUCCUUGAUAAAGGCUGAGUCUCUGCCUCUUGCUAAUGCCUGGCCUGACAGACCCUCUGGGACAUUUAUGCUUUCACCCAAUAGGACCUCUCAUGAUGUUUCUCCAGAUCUCACCCAUUCAUCCAUGCCCAGUGGAACACGGCCGAGGAACCAAUGUCUGGGGAUGCUGUAGAGAGAACUCAAGAGCCUGGGAUACCUGUGGUAUCAGUCACCAUCGCCUCCACCUUCUCCCAAAGAAUAAGGAGCUGACUUAAGAAGGAGGCAGUUGGAUUCCCCACAUCCUGACUGCCUGAAGAAUGGCUCACACUAAUUACAUCCACACUGAGAGCUUUGUGCUUAGUAGGCUUCAUUCAAGCGGCGGGUCUUCAGUUUGACCACUCAGUCCAUUGCACCCCUGGAGCCAGCUAGGCCCAUCAACUUCUGCCCAGGGCCCGGCUUUCAGCUGAGGUCCUUUUACAAGUUAUUCUGUGGGUAAGA
rnacentral:lncRNA from 1 species